AUUGAACGCUGGCGGCAGGCCUAACACAUGCAAGUCGAGCGAGCGGCGGACGGGUGAGUAAUGUCUGGGAAACUGCCUGAUGGAGGGGGAUAACUACUAGAAACGGUAGCUACUACCGCAUACCAUCAGAUGUGCCCCGCUGGGAUUAGCUAGUAGGUGGGGUAAUGGCUCACCUAGGCGACGAUCCCUAGCUGGUCUGAGAGGAUGACCAGCCACACUGGAACUGAGACACGUUCCAGACUCCUACGGGAGGCAGCAGUGGGGAAUAUUGCACAAGGGGCGAAAGCCGGAUGCAGCCAUGCCGCGUGGAUGAAGAAGGUCUUCGGGUUGUAAAGUACUUUCAGCGGGGAGGCGUUACCUGCAGAAGAAGCACCGGCUAACUCCGUGCCAGCCGCCGCGGUAAUAC
rnacentral:rRNA from 1 species